CCUACGGGAGGCAGCAGUGGGGAAUAUUGGGCAAUGGGCGCAAGCCUGACCCAGCAACGCCGCGUGAAGGAAGAAGGCUUUCGGGUUGUAAACUUCUUUUCUCAGGGACGAAGCAAGUGACGGUACCGGAGGAAUAAGCCACGGCUAACAACGGGCCAGCAGCCGCGGUAAUACGUAGGUGGCAAGCGUUAUCCGGAUUUACUGGGUGUAAAGGGCGUGUAGGCGGGAAAGAAAGUCAGAGGUGAAAACCAGGGGCUCAACCUGUGGCCUGCAUUUGAAACUGUUUUUCUUGAGUACUGGAGAGGCAGGCGGAAUUCCUCGUGUCGCGGUGAAAUGCGUAGAUAUUAGGAGGACCACCAGUGGCGCAGGCGGUCUGCUGGACAGCAACUGACGCUGAGGCGCGAAAGCGUGGGGAGCAAACAGGAUUAGAUACCCUAGUAGUC
rnacentral:rRNA from 1 species